rnacentral:rRNA from 1 species
GACGAACGCUGGCGGCAUGCCUAACACAUGCAAGUCGAACGGAACUUGUUGAAUGAAGUUUUCGGAUGGAUUUUGAUAAGUUUAGUGGCGGACGGGUGAGUAACGCGUGAGCAACCUGCCUUUCAGAGGGGGACAACAGUUGGAAACGACUGCUAAUACCGCAUAACAUGAUCUGGCCGCAUGACCGGAUCAUCAAAGAUUUAUCGCUGAAAGAUGGGCUCGCGUCUGAUUAGCUAGUUGGUGGGGUAACGGCCCACCAAGGCGACGAUCAGUAGCCGGACUGAGAGGUUGAACGGCCACAUUGGGACUGAGAUACGGCCCAGACUCCUACGGGAGGCAGCAGUGGGGAAUAUUGGGCAAUGGGGGCAACCCUGACCCAGCAACGCCGCGUGAAGGAAGAAGGCUUUCGGGUUGUAAACUUCUUUUACCAGGGACGAAGAAAGUGACGGUACCUGGAGAAAAAGCAACGGCUAACUACGUG